rnacentral:rRNA from 1 species
CCUACGGGUGGCAGCAGUGGGGAAUAUUCCGCAAUGGACGAAAGUCUGACGGAGCAACGCCGCGUGAGUGAUGAAGGUUUUCGGACUGUAAAGCUCUGUUGUUUAGGACGAAAGUGCCUGUUGCGAACAGUUACAGGUAUUGACGGUACUGAACGAGGAAGCCACGGCUAACUACGUGCCAGCAGCCGCGGUAAUACGUAGGUGGCAAGCGUUGUCCGGAAUUAUUGGGCGUAAAGAGCAUGUAGGCGGGAAUCUAAGUCUGUUGUGAAAAUGCGGGGCUCAACCCCGUAUUGCGAUGGAAACUGGGUUUCUUGAGUGCAGGAGAGGAAAGGGGAAUUCCCAGUGUAGCGGUGAAAUGCGUAGAUAUUGGGAGGAACACCAGUGGCGAAGGCGCCUUUCUGGACUGUGUCUGACGCUGAGAUGCGAAAGCCAGGGUAG